rnacentral:rRNA from 1 species
CAAUAGCGUAUAUUUAAGUUGUUGCAGUUAAAAAGCUCGUAGUUGGAUUUCGGAUGGGACUUGCCGGUCCGUCGUUUCGAUGUGCACUGGCCAGUCCUAUCUUGUUGUCGGGGACUAGCUCCUGGGCUUCACUGUCCGGGACUAGGAGCUGACGAGGUUACUUUGAGUAAAUUAGAGUGUUCAAAGCAAGCCUACGCUCUGAAUACAUUAGCAUGGAAUAACACGAUAGGACUCUGGCUUAUCUUGUUGGUCUGUGAGACCAGAGUAAUGAUUAAGAGGGACAGUCGGGGGCAUUCGUAUUUCAUUGUCAGAGGUGAAAUUCUUGUAUUUAUGAAAGACGAACUUCUGCGAAAGCAUUUGUCAAGGAUGUUUUCAUUAA